GAUGAACGCUGGCGGCGUGCCUAACACAUGCAAGUCGAACGGAGUUGUCACCAUGAAGUUUUCGGAUGGAAUGGAGGCAACUUAGUGGCGGACGGGUGAGUAACGCGUGGGUAACCUGCCUCAUACUGGGGGAUAACAGCUGGAAACGGCUGCUAAAACCGCAUAAGAUCGCAUCACCGCAUGGUGAGGCGGUUAAAUAUCGAAAAGAUAGGUAUGAGAUGGGCCCGCGUCUGAUUAGCUAGUUGGUGAGAUAAGAGCCCACCAAGGCGACGAUCAGUAGCCGGCUUGAGAGAGUGACCGGCCACAUUGGGACUGAGACACGGCCCAAACUCCUACGGGAGGCAGCAGUGGGGAAUAUUGCACAAUGGGGGAAACCCUGAUGCAGCGACGCCGCGUGAGUGAAGAAGUGACUUCGGCAUGUAAAGCUCUAUCAGCAGGAAGAAGAUGACGUACCUGACUAAGAACGCCCGGACUAACU
rnacentral:rRNA from 1 species